rnacentral:rRNA from 1 species
UACGGGAGGCAGCAGUGGGGAAUAUUGGACAAUGGGCGAAAGCCUGAUCCAGCAAUGCUGCGUGAGUGAUGAAGGCCUUAGGGUUGUAAAGCUCUUUCACCCGGGAAGAGCGAUAAGUGACGGUACCUGGAGAAUAAGCCCCGGCUAACUCCGUGCCAGCAGCCGCGGUAAUACGGAGGGGGCUAGCGUUGUUCGGAAUUACUGGGCGUAAAGCGCACGUAGGCGGCUUUGCAAGUCAGAGGUGAAAGCCCGGGGCUCAACCCCGGAAUUGCCUUUGAGACUGCAUCGCUAGAGUGUUGGAGAGGUGAGUGGAAUUCCGCCUCAGCGGUGGAAUU